GAACCGUACAAACGUUAUUCGGAAUCACUGGGCUUAAAGGGUGCGUAGGCGGCGUGGCAAGUUGGGUGUGAAAUCCCUCGGCUCAACCGGGGAACUGCGCCCAAAACUGCCAUGCUAGAGGGAGACAGGGGUGAGCGGAACUUAGGGUGGAGCGGUGAAAUGCGUUGAUAUCCUAAGGAACACCGGUGGCGAAGGCGGCUCACUGGGUCUCUUCUGACGCUGAGGCACGAAAGCUAGGGGAGCGAACGGGAUUAGAUACCCCGGGUAGUCCUAGCUGUAAACGAUGAGCACUUGGUUGGAGACUCCCUCCAUAGGUUUCCGGCCGUAGCGAAAGUGUUAAGUGCUCCGCCUGGGGAGUAUGUCCGCAAGGAUG
rnacentral:rRNA from 1 species